GACGAACGCUGGCGGCGUGCCUAAUACAUGCAAGUUGAGUGAUGAAGAUUGGUGCUUGCACCAAUUUGAAGAGCAGCGAACGGGUGAGUAACGCGUGGGGAAUCUGCCUUUGAGCGGGGGGCAACAUUUGGAAACGAAUGCUAAUACCGCAUAACAACUUUAAACAUAAGUUUUAAGUUUGAAAGAUGCAAUUGCAUCACUCAAAGAUGAUCCCGCGUUGUAUUAGCUAGUUGGUGAGGUAAAGGCUCACCAAGGCGAUGAUACAUAGCCGACCUGAGAGGGUGAUCGGCCACAUUGGGACUGAGACACGGCCCAAACUCCUACGGGAGGCAGCAGUAGGGAAUCUUCGGCAAUGGACGAAAGUCUGACCGAGCAACGCCGCGUGAGUGAAGAAGGUUUUCGGAUCGUAAAACUCUGUUGGUAGAGAAGAACGUUGGUGAGAGUGGAAAGCUCAUCAAGUGACGGUAACUACCCAGAAAGGGACGGCUAACUACGU
rnacentral:rRNA from 1 species